rnacentral:misc_RNA from 1 species
GAUGAAGAACGCAGCGAAAUGCGAUACUUGGUGUGAAUUGCAGAAUCCCGUGAACCAUCGAGUCUUUGAACGCAAGUUGCGCCCGAAGCCACUAGGCCGAGGGCGCGCCUGCCUGGGCGUCACACGUCGUUGCCCCCCCCCCCAUCUACUCCUUCGGGAUUGCGGGGGGCGGAUGAUGGCCUCCCGUGCGCCUAGCCGCGCGGUUGGCAUAAAUACCAAGUCCUCGGCGACGCACGCCACGACAAUCGGUGGUUGCGAAACCUCGGUUGCCCGUCGUGUGCGUUCGUCGCGCAUCGAGGGCUCGAAAAAAUGCUCGGCUCCGGCUCGGCUUUCAACGCGACCCCAGGUCAGGCGGGGUUACCCGCUGAAUUUAAGCAUAUCAAUAAGCGGAGGA